rnacentral:rRNA from 1 species
GACGAACGCUGGCGGCGUGCUUAACACAUGCAAGUCGAACGGAAAGGCCUCUUUCGGGGGGUACUCGAGUGGCGAACGGGUGAGUAACACACGAGUAGCCUGCCCUUGACUUUGGGAUAACUUCCGUCAACUGGGGCUAAUACCGGCUAGGAGCUCCUGCUGCAUGGAGGGGGUUGGAGAGUUUCGGGGUCUGGGGGUGGCCUCGCGGGGUAUCCGCUUGUUAGUGGGGUGGUGGCUUACCAAGGCCUUGCCGGGUAGCCGGCCAGAGGGGGUGAGCGGCCGCAUUGGGUCUGAGGGGCGGCCCAGGCUCCGAAGGGAGGCAGCAGGGGGGAAUAUUGAAGAAGGGGUGGAGGCCGGGUGCAGCAGCGCCUCGGGCGGGAUGACGGUCUUAGGGUUGUAGACCGCUUUCGCUCGUGACGAAGCUUUGUGUGACGGUAGUGGGUAAGGAAGCACCGGCUAACUACGUG